rnacentral:misc_RNA from 1 species
GAUGAAGAACGCAGUGAAAUGCGAUAAGUAAUGUGAAUUGCAGAAUUCAGUGAAUCAUCGAAUCUUUGAACGCACAUUGCGCCCGCCAGCAUUCUGGCGGGCAUGCCUGUCCGAGCGUCAUUUCAACCCUCGGGUCCCUCCGCCUCGCGCGGUCGGAGCCUGGUGUUGGGGAUCGGCCCGCCCCGCGCGGCGCCGUCCCCCAAAUACAGUGGCGGUCCCGCCGCAGCCUCCCCUGCGCAGUAGUUAUCAACUCGCACUGGAGCGCGGCGCGGCCACGCCGUAAAACCCCCGACUUUUAGAAAGUUGACCUCGGAUCAGGUAGGAAUACCCGCUGAACUUAAGCAUAUCAAUAAGCGGAGGA